UCUCCGUAGGUGAACCUGCGGAGGGAUCAUUACAGAGUUCAUGCCCUACCGGGUAGAUCUCCCACCCUAUGUUAUUAUUACUUUGUUGCUUUGGCGGGCCGUUAGGCUCCGGCCCGACUACCGGCCCCGGCUGGUAAGCGCCCGCCAGAGGACCCAAAACCCUGAAUAUUUGUGUCGUCUGAGUACUAUAUAAUAGUUAAAACUUCCAACAACGGAUCUCUUGGUUCUG
rnacentral:misc_RNA from 1 species